rnacentral:rRNA from 1 species
UACGGGGGGGGCAAGCGUUGUUCGGAAUUACUGGGCGUAAAGGGCGCGUAGGCGGCCUUCUAAAUCGGACGUGAAAUCCCUCGGCUUAACCGAGGAACUGCGUCCGAUACUGAAAGGCUUGAAUCCGGGAGAGGGAUGUGGAAUUCCAGGUGUAGCGGUGAAAUGCGUAGAUAUCUGGAGGAACACCGGUGGCGGAGGCGGCAUCCUGGACCGGUAUUGACGCUGAGGUGCGAAAGCGUGGGGAGCAAACAGG